UACGUAGGGGGCAAGCGUUGUCCGGAUUUAUUGGGCGUAAAGAGCUCGUAGGCGGCCGUCCACGUCGGAUGUGAAAGCUCAGGGCUCAACUCUGAGAGGCCAUUCGAUACGGGACGGCUAGAGGCAGGUAGGGGAAAGUGGAAUUCCUGGUGUAGCGGUGAAAUGCGCAGAUAUCAGGAGGAACACCGGUGGCGAAGGCGGCUUUCUGGGCCUUGCCUGACGCUGAGGCGCGAAAGCCAGGGGAGCAAACGGG
rnacentral:rRNA from 1 species